AUGCACGCUGGCGGCGUGCCUAAUACAUGCAAGUCGAGCGAACAGAUGAGGAGCUUGCUCCUCUGACGUUAGCGGCGGACGGGUGAGUAACACGUGGAUAACCUACCUAUAAGACUGGGAUAACUUCGGGAAACCGGAGCUAAUACCGGAUAAUAUAUUGAACCGCAUGGUUCAAUAGUGAAAGACGGUUUUGCUGUCACUUAUAGAUGGAUCCGCGCCGCAUUAGCUAGUUGGUAAGGUAACGGCUUACCAAGGCGACGAUGCGUAGCCGACCUGAGAGGGUGACCGGCCACACUGGAACUGAGACACGGUCCAGACUCCUACGGGAGGCAGCAGUAGGGAAUCUUCCGCAAUGGGCGAAAGCUUGACGGAGCAACGCCGCGUGAGUGAUGAAGGUCUUCGGAUCGUAAAACUCUGUUAUUAGGGAAGAACAAAUGUGUAAGUAACUAUGCACGUCUUGACGGUACCUAAUCAGAAAGCCACGGCUAACUACGUG
rnacentral:rRNA from 1 species